AUUGAACGCUGGCGGCAUGCCUUACACAUGCAAGUCGAACGGUAACGCGGGGCAACCUGGCGACGAGUGGCGAACGGGUGAGUAAUGCAUCGGAACGUGCCCAGUAGUGGGGGAUAGCCCGGCGAAAGCCGGAUUAAUACCGCAUACGACCUACGGGUGAAAGCGGGGGACCGUAAGGCCUCGCGCUAUUGGAGCGGCCGAUGUCAGAUUAGGUUGUUGGUGGGGUAAAGGCCUACCAAGCCGACGAUCUGUAGCUGGUCUGAGAGGACGACCAGCCACACUGGGACUGGGACACGGCCCAGACUCCUACGGGAGGCAGCAGUGGGGAAUUUUGGACAAUGGGGGCAACCCUGAUCCAGCCAUGCCGCGUGCGGGAAGAAGGCCUUCGGGUUGUAAACCGCUUUUGUCAGGGAAGAAACGCUCUGGGCUAAUACCCCGGGGUAAUGACGGUACCUGAAGAAUAAGCACCGGCUAACUACGUGCCAGCCGCCGCCGUAAGAC
rnacentral:rRNA from 1 species